rnacentral:rRNA from 1 species
AUUGAACGCUGGCGGCAGGCCUAACACAUGCAAGUCGAGCGGAUGAGGGGAGCUUGCUCCCUGAUUUAGCGGCGGACGGGUGAGUAAUGCGUAGGAAGCUGCCCGAUAGAGGGGGAUACCAGUUGGAAACGACUGUUAAUACCGCAUAAUGUCUAUGGACCAAAGUGUGGGACCUUCGGGCCACAUGCUAUCGGAUGCGCCUACGUGGGAUUAGCUAGUUGGUGAGGUAAUGGCUCACCAAGGCGACGAUCUCUAGCUGGUUUGAGAGGAUGAUCAGCCACACUGGAACUGAGACACGGUCCAGACUCCUACGGGAGGCAGCAGUGGGGAAUAUUGGACAAUGGGCGCAAGCCUGAUCCAGCCAUGCCGCGUGUGUGAAGAAGGCCUUCGGGUUGUAAAGCACUUUCAGCGAGGAGGAAGGGUGGUGUGUUAAUAGCACAUCAUUUUGACGUUACUCGCAGAAGAAGCACCGGCUAACUCUGUGCCAGCCGCCGCGGUAAGAC